rnacentral:rRNA from 1 species
GACGAACGCUGGCGGCGUGCUUAACACAUGCAAGUCGAACGGUAAGGCCCUUCGGGGUACACGAGUGGCGAACGGGUGAGUAACACGUGGGUGAUCUGCCCUGCACUUCGGGAUAAGCCUGGGAAACUGGUUCUAAUACCGGAUAGGACUCCGGACUGCAUGGUCUGGGGUGGAAAGCUUUUGCGGUGUGGGAUGGGCCCGCGGUCUAUCAGCUUGUUGGUGGGGUGAUGGCCUACCAAGGCGACGUCGGGGAGCCGGCCUGAGAGGGUGACCGGCCACACUGGGACGGAGAUACGGCCCAGAAUUCAACGGGAAGCAGCAGUGGGGAAUAUUGCACAAUGGGCUCAAGCCUGAUGCAGCGACUCCGCGUGAGGGCUGACGGCCUUCUGGUUGUAAACCUCUUUAAGCAUCGACGAAGCGAAAGUGACGGUAGGUGCAGAAGAAGGACCGGCCAUCUACGUGCCAGCAGCCGCCGUAA